AUAUAGGCUAAUGCUACUAUCCUAUUAAUAGGAUAGGAGCACUUGUCCUAUCAAGUUGUUCUUGAUGAUCGAGAUUCCGAAUCGAUGAUCGGAGCCGUUGAAGUUGAUAUAGAGUAUUUGAAAUAUCUAGAAACUAAAUUUCAUAAAUUUUGAUAAUGGUUUACAUGGUGAUCAAAGUGUCGUAAAAUCGAUAAUUUUUGACGGCCUAUAUGAGCCGUUUGCUUGUUUAACGGUGUAGAGCAAUCUAAAUUGNACCAAAUAGGAAAAAACAAAAGUAGAAAAAAAGGUGAAUAGAAGGUUGAGGAAAAAAGAAUUAAGAAAAGUGGUGCGCGUAGGGUGUUGACAAUGUUUCAGCUCAGGACUUCGUCAGGAGAACAGUAUG
rnacentral:lncRNA from 1 species